GAUGAACGCUGGCGGCGUGCUUAACACAUGCAAGUCGAACGGUGACGGCGGCGCUUGCUCUGCUGGAUCAGUGGCGAACGGGUGAGUAACACGUGAGCAAUCUGCCCCUGACUCUGGGAUAAGCGCUGGAAACGGCGUCUAAUACUGGAUACGAGCUGCGCAGGCAUCUUCAGCAGCUGGAAAGGACUUCGGUCGGGGAUUAGCUCGCGGCCUAUCAGCUUGUUGGUGAGGUAACGGCUCACCCAGGCGUCGACGGGUAGCCGGCCUGAGAGGGUGACCGGCCACACUGGGACUGAGACACGUCCCAGACUCCUACGGGAGGCAGCAGUGGGGAAUAUUGCACAAUGGGCGCAAGCCUGAUGCAGCAACCCCGCGUGUGGGACGACGGCCUUCGGGUUGGAAACCUCUUUUAGCGGGGAAGAAGCGAAAGUGACGGUACCUGCAGAAAAAGCGCCGGCUAACUACGUG
rnacentral:rRNA from 1 species